rnacentral:sRNA from 1 species
AUGAUUCCUGCUACUGCAAAGUGAAUUUUAUAAAGGCAAAAUACUGGAGCACUAAUGCCCAUGAGAUUGAAGGCACAGUGUUUGACAAGAGUGGAAAAGCGGUUCAUCGGCUGUUUGGGAAAUGGCAUGAAAGCAUCUACUGUGGCGGCUCUUCCUCUUCUGCUUGUGUGUGGAGAGCAAGUUUCUAGAAGAAGGGAACUUAGAAGAAGCUGAAAUACAAAAGCAGAGGAUUGAACAACUACAGCGAGAAAGGCGGCGGGUCUUAGAAGAAAAUCAUGUGGAGCACCAGCCUCGGUUUUUCAGGAAAUCCGACGAUGACUCUUGGGUGAGCAACGGCACCUAUUUGGAACUUAGAAAAGAUCUUGGUUUUUCCAAACUGGACCAUCCUGUCUUAUGGUGAAAAAGUAAAGAAAGAUAACGUUAAUGUAUUUCUCCUGUGCUUGCCUUCUGAAGCAGCACAAACCUGUGUUUAUAUAUUUAAAAGAUACUCUAGGAUGAUCACUUGUGCUUAGCUUUUAGCAUUGUAACUCUUUAAGUCUAUAUUUUCCUCAGU